GGGAAAGUGACUCAGUGGUAGAGUGCUUGCCUUGCAUGCAUGAGGCCCUGGGUUUGAUUCCUCAGCACCA
rnacentral:tRNA from 1 species